UAAUACUCCAUUGUGCAUACUAUCACAUUGUCUUUAUCCAUUCAUCUGCUGGCACACGCCUAGGCAGGUCACAGUGUAGCCUUUGUCACAGUGACAUGGGAAUGCUGGCAUUUCUUUGUUUGCCAAUUUCAUUUUGUUUGACUAUAGACCGAGAAAUGAGAUAGCUGCAAUCCUGGUGCAAUCUGAGACAGGGAGACUGUGGGAGUGCAACCCAGGUCUCCUAACUCAUCCUUGCAAUGAGCCGAACAUCAGUGCAGCAUCCCAGGUGCUGAGGACCAGGUCUUAGCAGAGUGUGAGGACCAAAAUCCAGAAUUCACUCUGGUCCAACAGGUCCUGAGGGGAUUCUGCUCCUUUGUCCUUCCGAGACUACCCAGAACCUGUUCUAAGAAGAAUGAGAUGCAAAGGAAGCCAGCACGCACCAGCGGCAGUUGUGGAUGGAUGUGUACAUCUGGGUCACAGCCUUUCAGCUUGAAACCCUCCGCUGUCUUGCUUUUAUAUAUUCAGAAUAAAAACCUAUGAGACCCCAGGAGAACCAGAAUCUUUUAACUCUUUCCCACCCUUACUUGAUCUGCAGCUGAACUUGCAGCACACAGUGGCUUCCUGGAGCUUCCUAGAAGUCCGAGCCCCCUCUACCUCAGGGUUUUAGCAUGUCUUUCCCCUUUGUCCCAAAAACACAUGGUUUGGCUCUUGCAGACUUCUGCUCAUGU
rnacentral:lncRNA from 1 species